AUUGCUAUAAAUUCUUAAAGAGUUCCCUCGACUAUCUUUCGUCUCCAUCAUCAGACUUUAAUGGCACUUGUAACUUAUAUAGGUGCAAAGUUCUCAUCAAUAGAAACGAAUUAAGUUCAAACAGCAGGUAAUUGCUAUAAGUCGUUGAAGAGUACCCUCGACUAUCUUUCGUCUCCAUCAUCAGACUGAAAUGGCACUUAUAACUCAUAUAUAUGCAAAGUUCUCAUCAAUAGAAACGAAUUAAGUUCAAACAGCAGGUAAUUGCUAUAAGUCGUUGAAGAGUACCCUCGACUAUUUUUCGUCUCCAUCAUCAGACUGAAAUGGCAUUUAUAACUUAUAUAUAUGCAAAGUUCUCAUCAAUAGAAACGAAUUAAGUUCAAAGAGCAGGUAAUUGCUAUAAAUCGUUAAAGAGUUCCCUCGACUAACUUUUGUCUCCAUCAUCAGACUAUAAUGGCACUUAUAACUCAUACAG
rnacentral:misc_RNA from 1 species